rnacentral:tRNA from 1 species
GGGUUUAGGUUAAAUUAAACCAGGGGCCUUCAAAGCCCCAAACAAGAGUCAAUCAAACCUCCUAGCCCCU